GGCCUCCUUCCCCCCUUGCAACCCCCACGGCCUGCUAACAAGCUAGCGGGACAGCCGUCCUACCUAUCUAGGUGUUGUACCAGUAGUACUUCCUAGAUUAAACUGCAACGGAAUACAAGACAUCGUACACCAACAUAACCUGGUUAAGUAAAUCUUGGAUCGAAUCACUUGAUUCCAGGGUUCUUAUAAAAACCCAGAAUCAGGGUGAUUUCACUUAUCGGAUUUUCACCUUUCCCAUCCUUCGACGAGAGACGAACACAGGCUUCUGAAAACCGAACGCAGAUUCAGGGAUUAGCUUUGUCGAUUGACUGAAGAAAGGGGUGUUUUCCUGAUUGUAGACAUAAUCACAAGAAUCGUCUGCUGAGCUCUCUGUCUUACGGGCUUCUCCUUUCCCUUUGCUGAACUACAAGCUCAAAUUUAAGUGCUUAUCCAUCCCAAGAGCUCCGAAGAGUGCAUGUAUACCAAAGAUUAUGAUGAGAAAAAGAGAGCUUCUACUGGUGUAUAAGGUUGAAAACAAAGGUUGUGGAAUGUUCGAAUGGAUAUCAAAUUCAAGCCCAAGUUGUCAUAGUUACCAGGCUCCACCUCGGUCCAAACUCCCAAUGCUCGGAAACCUCAACUUCAUCAUCUCCUUCCCUUUCAUCAGACUAUAUCAAAAGAAACUUGAACGAUGCAAUUAAAAAAUCGAAGGACCGUACGAGGAUGCUGAGAGAUGUUCUUGACACAGUCAGGAAACUUGAUUUAGACAAAAGUGUAGAAUGAACUCUGAUAGGAGAGUUGGAAUUUUUUGGAAAAGAAAAGGCUGAUGUCAUUGUAAUGAUAUUUUAUUCAUUAUCAUUUGGUAGUACCUGGAUUGUAAUAGUUAAUUUAGGCUCAGCUAUGUUUUUGGAUUAUUACAUGUUAGUACCUGCAUUGGACCAGUUUUUGUAAUGAUUAUUCUCUUUCUCCUUUAAGCUCUUGACUCAUCAA